AGAUGUGUGUGGUCCCAGUUUGGCUUACAUAUGCCACUUUUUAGUACAAUUUAGUUUUGCCCACUCUUCCUGGUGUUGUGAGAACCAGAGAAAGAGCAACAAAACUUCCAGAGAGAUGACACCUCUCUUUGGGGCCUGUCAUAUGUGGAUGUGCCUUUACUGAAAAACAAACAUGCU